CUCAGGUCUGUGGUUGCAAGUCGAUGCCAGUUGCAGGCGAAACGAUCCACGUAAACAGCCAAAAUAGGCUGCGAGCACGGUGCAGUAUAGAAGUAAGUCCUGCCGCAUAAAAAUUAAGGCGAGAGGGGUAGUAGUGGGGAGCAGAUGCUUAGGAGCGAACCCUCCAGCAGGCGAGUGUGGGGGCGAAAACCAGGUCAGCUGAG
rnacentral:ncRNA from 1 species